GGGGCCAUAGUAGAAAUGGUACAACACAUCCUUCGCAAGGAUGAGAUCCGGGUUCAAUUCCCGGUGGCUCCA
rnacentral:tRNA from 1 species